rnacentral:rRNA from 1 species
GACGAACGCUGGCGGCGUGCUUAACACAUGCAAGUCGAACGGGAAGGUCCUGUCUUUGUGGGGUGCUCGAGUGGCGAACGGGUGAGUAACACGUGAGUACCCUGUCACUGACCUUGGGAUAACUUAAGGCCACUGGGUGUCAUACCGGAUAGGAGCUCUUGCUGCUUGGUGGGGGUUCGUAAGUUUCGCCGGUUGGUGAUGGACUAGCGGCUUAUCAGCUCGGUGGAUGGGUAGUGGCAUACCAUGGCCUUGACCGGUAGCCGGCCUGGUCGGCGCACCGGCCACAUUGGGACUGGAAUACGGCCCAGACUCGUACGGGAGGCAGCAGUGGAGAAGGUUGCACAGUAGGCGGAAGCCUGAUCCAACAACGCCGCGUGCGGGAAGAGAUCCUUCGGUUUGUGUUCCACUUUCGCCUUUGACGAAAUGAGAGUGACAGUAAUGGGUAAAGAAGCACCGGCUAACUCCGUG